UACAGAGGGUGCAAGCGUUAAUCGGAAUUAUUGGGCGUAAAGCGCACGUAGGUGGGCUAAUAAGUUGAAUGUGAAAGCCCUGGGCUUAACCUGGGAAUGGCAUUCAAGACUGUUAGUCUAGAGUAUGGGAGAGGGAAGUGGAAUUUCUGGUGUAGCGGUGAAAUGCGUAGAUAUCAGAAGGAACAUCAGUGGCGAAGGCGACUUCCUGGCCUAAUACUGACACUAAGGUGCGAAAGCGUGGGGAGCAAACAGGAUUAGAUACCCUGGUAGUCCACGCCGUAAACGAUGAGAACUAGACGUUGGGCAGCAUAGACUGCUUAGUGUCGAAGCUAACGCGAUAAGUUCUCCGCCUGGGGAGUACGGCCGCAAGGCUA
rnacentral:rRNA from 1 species